rnacentral:tRNA from 1 species
GACUAAUUAAAGAGUUUUGAUUUGAAAUCAAGUACCAAAGCGGUUAUAGGUGCUUAUUAGUCU